CUCUCCCGCCACACCUCCCUGCAAGCUGAGGGAGCCGGCUCCUGCCUUGGCCAGGCUAGAAAGGGGCUCCCACAGUGCAGGGGCGGGCUGAAGGGCUCCUCAAGUGCCACCAAAGUGGGAGCCCAGGCAGAGGAGGUGCCGAGAGCGAGCGAGGGCUGCGAGGACUGCCAGCAGCUGUCACCUCUCGUUACCAUCACUCCUAGUGACCAUUUCGGAUAAUCCACCUUGCCUCAUCAAACCAGAAAACAAUUCAAACCUGGCCUCCUUCUAACUGGAAGCCACAUUUUAAGAACUUAUUGUGAAGAACUGGAAAGCCUCCAAUAGAACAGAAGCUAAAAGCAGAAAUUAUAAAAGCUGUUACACCUACUCAGCUCUAUUACAUGUUGGAAAAACUGAACCAGAGAAACAAUUACAUACACUCUUGUCUUCUGGAAAAGCUGAAUUGGGUUUUGGUCUGAAUCAAUAGCUAUUUGAAGAUGCCUGCUCUGGCUUUGCCUUCUGCCAUGAUUAAAAGCUCCCGAGGCCUCCCCAAAAGCAGAUGCUGCUAUGCUUCCCAUACAGCCUGUGGAAUCAUGAAUCAAUUAAACCUCUUUACUUAUAGAC
ensembl:lncRNA LINC02046 long intergenic non-protein coding RNA 2046